rnacentral:rRNA from 1 species
UACGUAGGGCGCAAGCGUUGUCCGGAAUUAUUGGGCGUAAAGAGCUCGUAGGCGGCUUGUCACGUCGGGUGUGAAAGCCCGGGGCUUAACCCCGGUUCUGCAUUCGAUACGGGCUAGCUAGAGUGUGGUAGGGGAGAUCGGAAUUCCUGGUGUAGCGGUGAAAUGCGCAGAUAUCAGGAGGAACACCGGUGGCGAAGGCGGAUCUCUGGGCCAUUACUGACGCUGAGGAGCGAAAGCGUGGGGAGCGAACAGG